rnacentral:lncRNA from 1 species
CUUUGAUCACGCACAGAAAGAAUGUGCUACUAUCCCCGCGCUGCCGCUGCCGCCGCCGCCGCCGCUGCCGCCGCGCCGGAGCCCGAGCCCGAGCCCGAACCCGCGGGCCCCUCCGGAACGCCGGCGCCGCCUCUCGGAAAGCUCGGGCCCGGGGCGGCUCCGCGGCAGCCGGACCGGGCUCUCGGCGCACCGGGAGCCGCCUCGUUUGCCUUGGUGGCCGCCACCUCCCCGCGGCUUCCCGGGUCUCUCCUUGGCUCUUGACGCAGUCUGGAGCUGCAGCCGGGUUUCCUCUCCUUUCCUCUCCUCUCUCUCCUCUCCCAGUCUCAGGCCAAACCCAGCCCGGCCCCGGGAGGGGAGGGGGGGGGAGGGAGAUUUGUCUUGGAGGAACCUGCCGACGGAGCUUGGGGAGGAGGAAGAGGAGGAGGAAGGAGGGGAAGCCGUAGCCGCCGCCACCACCGCCGCCGCCACCUGCCACCUCUGCCCGCUGCCUGUGCUGGGGAUCUCAGCGCGCGCUCUCCGGGAGCUGUACCCCACCCCCUCCUGUAGCCCGCCCCAGGACACCCCGGGUUCAGUCAUCGACUCGCGUGGGAGCCCUGGGGCUGAGCGGUGGCUCUCUCCUCGCCCGCGUCAAGGAAGAAGGAGCGAGUGAGCGAGCGCAGGACACGUCGUCCUGCUGGGGACAGAGCGACCGUCAGCCGCGGGGGACUGGGGAAGACGCCGGAGCCGCCCGGAGCGCCCCGCCUGUCUAGACUUGGAGCCUGCGUAUGCCCUCGGGAAGAGGAGGAGGAGGGAGGCGGUGGCCGCGCAGCGCGUAAGUUUGUUUGCAUCCACUUCCGAGGACAGGGCUGGGGGGCUGCACUGGAGGGGACCCGCACUCU